UGAGGCAGGAGAAUCACUUCAACCCAGUGGGGGGAGGUUGCAGUGAGCUGAGAUUGCGCCAUUGCACUCCAGCCUGGGCACAAGAACAAGCCUCUGUCUCAAAAAAAAAAAAAAGCUUUGGUGGUAAACUGAGGUCUAUACCUUUCCUUUACCUUUUAAAGAAGGCUACUUAGCUCUAUGAUUUAGGAAGAAAGAUUCAUUCUCUCCACCCCCAGAGAGAGAGAACGCCCAGGAGGUGGAAUGUUAACCACUGGAGAACUUGGAGAGGUUUAUGCGGGUGAAGUGUGUUCUUGGAACUUUUCUGUAAGUGUAUAAUUGUUUCAAAAUAGAUGUUUUGAAAGCAUUCAUAAUUCAGAACUCAUUCUAUAAAGAUCUAAAAUAUACUAUUCUUUUACAAAAGUAAGCAAACAUUCAAAUCACCUUUGCCUCCUUAAAAAAUUGCCUAGGCCUUAGCGUACAUCUGCCAAGAUUUACCUUAACUUUAGGGUGGGUUGGUUUCCUUCAGCUUGGUCAGGUGACCGCCUUAGCUCCCUGUCGCACUACCUGCAUUGGCAGGGGAGGGUGGGAGAGCUGGAGAACGGAAGGAGGGAAGGUCCUGUCAUUGACCGUGCUCAGGGGCUUCAGUAUCAAGAACUGCACUGAUGAUGGGCUUGGUGUCAGUGGGUGUCCAAAUUACCCAGGCACCUGCAUCCCUAUAGGGUUGAAUAGAGUGUAUAGGAGUGAGCUGGAAGAUGCCAGCACCCUCCCCCUCUCCCCACUGUGGCAGGUGUCCGACGGGCCAGGUCAGCUUCAUUCAUUCAUUUUUUUUUUUUUUUUUUUUGAGAUGGAGUCUCACUCUGUCUCCCAUGCUGGAGUGCAGUGGCACAAUCUCAGCUCACUGCAACUUCGGCCUCCUGGGUUCAAGUGAUUCUCCAACCUCAGCCUCCCAAGUAGCUGAGAUUACAGGCAUGCGCCACCGUGCCUGACUAAUUUUUGUAUUUUUAGUAGAGUCAGAGUUUCACCAUGUUGGCCAGGCUGGUCUCAAACUCCCGACCUCAAGUGAUCUGCCCGCCCCGGCCUCCCAAAGUGCUGGGAUUACAGGCGUGAGCCACCGCACCCGGCCCCGUAUACCAUAUUUUCUUUAUCCAUUAGGUUGAUGCUGUAUCUUGGCUAUUGUGACUAGUGCUGAAACGAACAUGGGAAUGCAGAUGUCUCUUUGAAAUGGUGACUUAGUUCUUUUAGGUGUAUACCCAGUUGUGGGAUUAGUGGAUCAUAUGGAAGUUCUAUUUUUAAUUUUUUGAGGAGCUUCCCUACUGCUUUCCAUAAUGGCUGUGCCAAUUUACAUUUCCACCAACCGCCUGUGAGGAAAACGGUGUGGGUUCCCUUUUCUCCAUGCCUUUGCCAACACUUACCUUUUCUGUUUUUAGUAAUAGCCAUUCUAACAGGUGCAAGGUGAUAGUUCAUUGUGGUUUUGAUUUUCAUUUCCCUGAUGAUUAGUGAUGUUGAACAUCUCAUAUAACUGUUGGGCAUCUGCAUGCUUGCUUUGGAGAAAUGUUUAUAUGCAUCCUUUGCCCAAUUUUUAUCAGGUUUUUGGGGGUUUGAUUUGGUUUUGUUAUUUGUGGGUUUUUGGUUUUGUUUUUUUUUGUUUUUUGGUUUUUUUUUUUUUGCUAUUCAGUGGUAUGAGUGUAUUUUAGAUAGUGACCCCUCAUUAGAUCUAUGGUUUGCAACCAUUUUCUCCCACUCGGUAGGCUGUAUUUUCAUUUUUUUUUUCCUCUCCCGUGCAGAAGCUUUUUAGUUUGAUGUAACCCCAUUUGUUUAGUUUUGCUUGUGUUGCCUGUGCUUUUGGGUUCACAUCCAAAAAGUUAUUUCCUAGACCAAUGUUGAGGAACUUUUUUCCUACAUUUUCUUCUAGGAGUUUUGUGAUUUCAGGUCUUAAAAGAUUUAAGCCUUUGAUCCAUUUGAGUUGAUUUUUGUGUACGGUGUAAGAUAAGGAUCCAGUUCCACUCUUUUGCAUUGGAGAUCCAUUUUUCCCAGCACCGUUUAUUGAAAACAUUAUCCUUUCCUCACUGCAUAUUCUUGGUGCCCUUGUCAAGUAUUAGUUGACUGUGUAUGUGUGGGUUUAUUUCUGGGCUCUGUUCUGUUCCCCAGGUCUAUGUAUCUGUUUUUAUGCCAGUACCAGACUGCUUUGAUGACUGUAGCUUUGUAAUGUAUAGUCAUGUGUCACAUAAUGACAUUUUGGUCAAUGAAAGACUAUAUAUAUGACAGUGGACGCAUAAGAUAAUGGAGCUGAAAAAUCCCUUUUCUAUGUUUAGACACACAAAUAUCACUGUUAUAAGUACUUAGAAUAUUCAAUACAGUAACAUGCUGUAUGGGUUUAUAGCCAAGGAGUAAUAGGCUAUGCCAUACAGCCAAAGUGUGUAGCAGGUGCACUCUGUGAUGUUUGAACAAUGAUGAAAUUGCCUAACAACACAUAUCCCAGAAUGUGUCGCUGUCAUUGGCAACAUGUGACUGUAGUUGUUCUGGUUUGGUUUGGUUUUUUUGAGACAGUCUCACUCUCACCCAGGCUGGAGUAUAACGGCGCAAUUUGGGCUCACUGCAACCUCCAUCUCCCUGGUUCAAGUGAUUCUUGUGACUCGGCCCCCCAAGUAGCUGGGAUACAGGUGCCUGCCACCAUGCCCAGCUAAUUUUUGUAUUUUUAGUAGAGAUGGUGUUUCUCUGCAUUGGCCAGGCUGGUCUCAAACUCCUGGCCUCAACUGAUUGACCCGCCUCAGCCUCCUAAAGUGCUGGGAUUACAGGCAUGAGCCACCACUCCAGGCCAACUGUAGUUCAAAAUCAAGAAGUGUGAUGCCUUCAGCUUUGUUCUUUCUCAAGGUUGCUUUGGCUGUUUGGGGUCUUUUGUAGUUCCAUAUGAAUUUUAGAGUUGUUUUUUCUUUUAAUUAAUUAUUAUUUUUUUUUUUUUUUGAGACAAAGUCUCGCUGUCUGUUUGUUGCCAGGCUGGAGUGCAGUGGCACGAUCUCGGCUCACUGCAACCUCCACCUCCCAGGUUCAAGCGAUUCUCCUGCCUCAGCCUCCCCAGUAGCUGGGACUACAGGCACGUGCCACCACACCUGGCUAAUUUUUGUAUUUUUAGUAGAGUCAAGGUUUCACCAUGUUGGCCAGGCUGGUCUUGAUCUCUUGACCUCGUGAUCCACCCGCCUUGGCCUCCCAAAGUUCUGGGAUUACAGGCGUGAGCCACUGCGCCCGGCCUGUUUUUUCUGUUUUUUCUAUACACGUGAAAAAUGCCAUUGGAAUUUUGAUAGGGGUUGCAUUGAAUCUCUAGAUCACUGAGUAGUAUGGAUAUUUUAACAAUGUUAAUUAUUCCAAUCCAUGAACAUAUGAUAUCUUUUCAUUUAUUUGUGUCUACUUUAGUUUCUUUAAUCAAUGUUUUAUAUAGUUGUUAGUACACAGAUCUUCCACCUCCGUUAAAUUUUUUUUUUUUUUUUGAGACAGAGUCUUGCUCUGUUGCCCAGGCUGGAGUGCAGUGGCGCAAUCUCGGCUCACUGCAAGCUCUGCCUCCCGGGUUCACGCCAUUCUCCUGCCUCAGCUUCCUGAGUAGCUGGGACUACAGGCGCCCGCCACCACACCUGGCUAAUUUUUUUGUAUUUCUAGUAGAGACAGGGUUUCACCAUGUUAGCCAGGAUGGUCUUGAUAUCCUGACCUCGUGAUCCGCCUGCCUCAGCCUCCCAAAGUGCUGGGAUUACAUGUGUGAGCCACCAUGCCUGGCCUCACCCCAGUUAAAUUUAUACUUAAGUAUUUUGUUCUUUUUGAUGCUAUUGUAAAUUUAUUUGUUUUCUUAACUUCUCUUUUGGAUAGUUUGUUGUUAACGUUUAGAGACACAACUGAUUUUUGUAUCCUCAACUGUACUAAAUUUGUUUAUUAGCAGGUUUUUUAUGGAGUCUUUAGGGUUUUCUAGAUAUAAGAUCGUGUCAUCUGCAAACAGAGAACGUCUUCCUUUCCUAUUUGGAUUUUUUUUCUUACCUAAUUGCUUUGGCUAGGAUUUAUUGAUUUUCGGUCUGGAUGAUCUGUCUGUUAUUGAAAAUGGAUAAUCAAGUCCCUACUGUUAUUGCACUGCUGUCUAUUUUCUGUCUGGAUGAUCUGUCUGUUAUUGAAAAUGGAUAAUCAAGUCCCUACUAUUAUUGCACUGCUGUCUAUUUUCUGUCUGGAUGAUCUGUCUGUUAUUGAAAAUGGAUAAUCAAGUCCCUACUAUUAUUGCACUGCUGUCUAUUUCUUCCCUCUUUUCUGUUAAUAUUUGCUUUCUGUUUAGGUGCCCCAAUAUUGGGUGGAUAUAUAUUUAUAAUUGUUAUAUCCUCAUGAUGAAUUAGCCCUUUUAUCAUUAUAUAGUGACAUUCCUUUUUUUGAGAUGGAGUCUUGCUCUGUCACCCAUGCUCGAGUGCAGUGUGUGAUCUCAGCUCACUGCAACUUCCAUCUCCAAGGUUCAAGUGAUUCUCCUGCCUCAGCCUCCAGAGUAGCUGGGAUUACAGGCAUGUGCCACCACACCACUACUAAAAAUACAAAAAUUAGCCAGGCAUGGUGGCAUGCGCCUGUAGUCCCAGCUACUCGGGAGGCUGAGGCAGGAGAAUCACUUGAACCUGGGAGGUGGAGGUUGCAGUGAGCCAAGAUGGUGCCAUUGCACUCCAGCCUGGGCAACAGAGUGACACUCUGUCUAAAAAAAAAAAGAAAGAAAGAAAGGAAAGAAAGAAAGAAAAAAAUAUAUUUAUUAUUCAUUAAGUAGAAGUAGAUCAUCAUAAAUGUCAUCAUCCUCAUCAUCCUCACAUUGAGUAGUCUGAGGAGGGGUUGUCUUGCAGUCUCAGGGAUGGCAGAGGCAGAAGAAAAUUAGCUUAUAAAUAGACCCACAAAGUUCAAACCCUCGUUGUUCAAAGGUUAACUGUAUAAACUCAUAACUUGAAUUGCAUAUAUUUUUACCUCUCCACCCCCAC
rnacentral:lncRNA from 1 species